CAAACAGACCGUGUUUAGGAUCAGCUUUUUCUUGAAGAUCUGUUUUCUCCAAGGUGGAUGAACCAGACUGGCAAUAGACUGGUUCUUCACAGCACGCUGGCUUAAGUCCUGAGGGACUAUUCUGCGUAUCAUCUUUAGGGCACUUGACUGCAGGCCGGAUGGGCCUGGCUGACUAUCAGUCUGAUCUCGUUGAGCACUUGGCUCCUGGUCAAACAGACCGUGUUUAGGAUCAGCUUUUUCUUGAAGAUCUGUUUUCUCCAAGGUGGAUGAACCAGACUGGCAAUAGACUGGUUCUUCACAGCACGCUGGCUUAAGUCCUGAGGGACUAUUCUGCGUAUCAUCUUUAGGGCACUUGACUGCAGGCCGGAUGGGCCUGGCUGACUAUCAGUCUGAUCUCGUUGAGCACUUGGCUCCUGGUCAAAUGGACCAUCUUUAGUAUCAGCCUCUUCUUGAAGAUCUGUUUUCUCCAACAGCACUUGGCUCCUGGUCAAAAAGUUGCUAAUUUUAUUACGUAUGGGUGAGGCUAGAACUAAUAUUGUGAUUUAAGAGGAAAAUCACUUACUUUCUGUUAAGAAAAAUAGUUUACUCUCACAACCCUAAAUGGCCGUUUUCCAGUAAUAUCAGUAAUUUUUUACAGUUUAAAAGGGGGAUGAGUUUAUUCACAAUCGAAGAUGUUGAUAGCUCUCAUGUUGACAGGGAAAGACUAGGACACAAAAACCAGUGAGGAGCCCAGGGAAGAUCCGAAGUGCAAUAAGCGUCGGGGGCCAAACCCUGUGGUGAAGACUCCCUCAUAGGUUCCCCUCAAGUAGUUCAUCCCCCACCUCACCUGGUCCCUUAGGUGUCAAACUACAUUAGAUUAGGGUACAAAAAAACUCUAUGAUAAAUUUUAUAUCUUUUAUAUUUAAUAUUUUUAUGUAAGGUUGUAAAAACAAUUAUGUUAAAGCAAUACAAUCACAGGGAAGUUAAAACUUAAAAUGUUGUAUGAGAGUACUGCUCUUUUGUGUUUUUCUGUUUGUGUUGCAGAUACAGGACAUUGCCAAAUAGAUGACUGUCAUCAACAUAUGAAGGAGCAGGCUGAUCAAGAGCAAUUGCAAGUGGCCUUAAAAAACUGGAUUGUGUAGGAGCACGGCAGAACCCCAACAGCACUUCCUCUCGGCCAAGGCUUAUGGGAACAGAUUCUAGUGGACCUGCUGGUUACAUACACACAUACAGGGAACAAUGCAACCUCUGGAACAUCAAGUGGAUGUCCUGGUAUAAAUACAGGGACAAAUACGCCAGUACCCACUGUCAACAGUGAAAUGCAAAGCAAACUGAAAGACCUCUAAAUGGGGCAGUGGAGCUUGGACUGCUUCAGGCAGGACCUGAUAUCAUUGCCAGAACAUUCUGGUCACAAAGAGGUUGUCAGUAUUAUGAUCCUUAAAGAGGAGCAUCAUAAAUUGAAGCAACUAGCUGGUGGUUGGCUUUGCUAUAAAGCUGCAGG